rnacentral:misc_RNA from 1 species
AAAUAAGCACCCCCAGCCCCUCCCUGUCCUCGCAAAUUUAUGUAUAAAGAGCUGGAGUAAAGAGGCAAUCGUGUGGCUUCUUCUCUUCUUUUUCCUCAUUCAACAAACACUUUCAAUCCCCAUUCUGUUUCUGUUUUAUACAGGCUUCUUUCCUUCCUGCUUUUAAUUGUUUCUUUUCCUCUCUUCUCUGCCUCAUUAAAACUGAGCAACUCUCCUGUUUUCUCUUCUUUUCUCUCUUGCCAAACAAAUUUACCUUUUUCUAAUGGUGAGAGUAAAAAUGCAAUUCACCCUCUUUCUUCUCUGAUCACUCUUCUUCACUUCUUUGUUUUUUUUCUUCCCUUUGUUGCAUCUCAAAAAUCUGUCUUUCACUCUGCUUCUGAGGCAUUAUAUAGAAAGGAGACAGCUUUGGGGGUUUUCAACUUCUGUUUUAUUUCAUCUUCCUGUCUGGUUUUAUAGCUGGUUUCUUUUGGUCAAAAUGAGUGUACAACACCUAAGGAGUGACAAUAAUAGUUUCAGUGGGUGUCAAAACAUGAACUUUCUGCCUCCACCUGCCGCUUCUCAACUGUAUCUCGCUAGAUUUGGGGUAAUGGGUAAGCCUAGAGAGACGGAAACCAAAAAUCCUCAAACGGGGUUUCAGUUUUUGAGCCAUUCAAUGGACCAAAACGGAAAGCCAUGGAGUAUUCAUCAGGUAGAAAACAGGGGAACUAAGAGGCCUCAUGAUGGGAGUGAUGGGAUUUUCGGAAUUCAAAAGAAAGAUCUGUCUUUGAAUUUAGUUGAAGAAGAGGAGCCUAAGAGCUCUGCUCCUGGUAAAAAUGGUCACACAAAGCUUUGUGCCCGAGGCCAUUGGAGACCUGCUGAAGAUGCCAAACUCAAAGAGCUUGUUGCCCAAUACGGUCCUCAAAACUGGAAUUUGAUUGCUGAGAAUCUUGAAGGAAGAUCGGGGAAGAGCUGUAGAUUAAGGUGG